AGCAUCGCUGGGCUUGCUGACGGCCAUACCAGCUCCAGGUGACCUGAAGACCCCACGGGAAGGGAACAAGGCAGAGCCACCGGCCAGGACACUCUCUGUUCUCCAGCUCGGUAACAGACAUCCAGGACGCUAACUGGCACCCGAGUGACGGUCCCAUGAAAGUAAGCAAGACUGUCACUAGGUUGCCCGAGCUGAGCGGCAGCUCAGCUGCUCCGUUGCCACCCUGUCAAGUGCUGGGCUGGCAGGCGUGCCCCACGCGGUCAGCUGGAGAAGAGUCAGGGCAGACCGGUGGAAGGCCCAACUCCCACCAAGUGAAUCAGUAUC